rnacentral:sRNA from 1 species
UCAGAGCAAGUUGUUGAUGGAUAAUCCUA